GCGUGAGUGAUGAAGGCCCUAGGGUUGUAAAACUCUUUCAGCAGGGAUGAUAAUGACAGUACCUGCAGAAGAAGCUCCGGCUAACUCCGUGCCAGCAGCCGCGGUAAUACGGAGGGAGCUAGCGUUGUUCGGAAUUACUGGGCGUAAAGCGUGCGUAGGCGGCUAUUUAAGUUGGGGGUGAAAGCCCGGGGCUCAACCCCGGAACUGCCCUCAAAACUGGAUAGCUAGAAUCCUGGAGAGGUGAGCGGAAUUCCUAGUGUAGAGGUGAAAUUCGU
rnacentral:rRNA from 1 species